UGUCGGGUAAGUUCCGACCCGCACGAAAGGCGUAACGAUUUGGGCACUGUCUCAACAACAGACUCGGUGAAAUUGUAAUUCCGGUGAAGAUGCCGGAUACCUGCGACAGGCCGGAAAGACCCCAUGGGGCUUUACUGUAGCUUGACAUUGGGUCUUGGUACUACAUGUACAGGAUAGGUGGGAGGCUUUGAAACCAGGACGCCAGUUUUGGCGGAGCCAUCCUUGGGAUACCACCCUU
rnacentral:rRNA from 1 species